rnacentral:misc_RNA from 1 species
GAUGAAGAACGCAGCGAAAUGCGAUAAGUAAUGUGAAUUGCAGAAUUCAGUGAAUCAUCGAAUCUUUGAACGCACAUUGCGCCCCUUGGUAUUCCGAGGGGCAUGCCUGUUCGAGCGUCAUUAUAACCCCUCAAGCUCAGCUUGGUGUUGGGGCCUGCUGCACUGGCAGCCCUUAAAAUCAGUGGCGGCGCCAUCUGGCUCUAAGCGUAGUAAUUCUUCUCGCUAUGGAGUCCUGGUGGAUGCUUGCCAUCAACCCCCAAUUUUUCUAUGGUUGACCUCGGAUCAGGUAGGGAUACCCGCUGAACUCAAGCAUAUCAAUAAGCGGAGGA